GGGUUGUGAGGUUAAGCGACUAAGCGUACACGGUGGAUGCCUAGGCAGUCAGAGGCGAUGAAGGGCGUGCUAAUCUGCGAUAAGCGUCGGUAAGCUGAUAUGAAGCGUUAUACCCGACGAUACCCGAAUGGGGAAACCCAGUGUGUUUCGACACACUAUCAUUACGUGAAUACAUAGCGUAAUGAGGCGAACCGGGGGAACUGAAACAUCUCAGUACCCCGAGGAAAAGAAAUCAACCGAGAUUCCCCUAGUAGCGGCGAGCGAACGGGGAGGAGCCCAGAACCUGAAUCAGUUUGUGUGUUAGUGGAAGCGUCUGGAAAGUCGCACAGUAAAGGGUGAUAGUCCCGUACACAAAAAUGCACAGAUUGUGAGUUCGAUGAGUAGGGCGGGACACGUGACAUCCUGUCUGAAUAUGGGGGGACCAUCCUCCAAGGCUAAAUACUCCUGACUGACCGAUAGUGAACCAGUACCGUGAGGGAAAGGCGAAAAGAACCCCGGCGAGGGGAGUGAAAUAGAACCUGAAACCGUGUACGUACAAGCAGUGGGAGCCUUGAUUAAUCAGGGUGACUGCGUACCUUUUGUAUAAUGGGUCAGCGACUUAUAUUCUGUAGCAAGGUUAACCGUAUAGGGGAGCCGCAGGGAAACCGAGUCUUAACUGGGCGUUAAGUUGCAGGGUAUAGACCCGAAACCCGGUGAUCUAGCCAUGGGCAGGUUGAAGGUUGGGUAACACUAACUGGAGGACCGAACCGACUAAUGUUGAAAAAUUAGCGGAUGACUUGUGGCUGGGGGUGAAAGGCCAAUCAAACCGGGAGAUAGCUGGUUCUCCCCGAAAGCUAUUUAGGUAGCGCCUCGUGAAUUCAUCUUCGGGGGUAGAGCACUGUUUCGGCUAGGGGGUCAUCCCGACUUACCAACCCGAUGCAAACUACGAAUACCGAAGAAUGUUAUCACGGGAGACACACGGCGGGUGCUAACGUUCGUCGUGAAGAGGGAAACAACCCAGACCGCCAGCUAAGGUCCCAAAGUCAUGGUUAAGUGGGAAACGAUGUGGGAAGGCACAGACAGCCAGGAUGUUGGCUUAGAAGCAGCCAUCAUUUAAAGAAAGCGUAAUAGCUCACUGGUCGAGUCGGCCUGCGCGGAAGAUGUAACGGGGCUAAACCAUGCACCGAAGCUGCGGCAGCGACACUUAGGUGUUGUUGGGUAGGGGAGCGUUCUGUAAGCCGUCGAAGGUGGCCUGUGAGGGCUGCUGGAGGUAUCAGAAGUGCGAAUGCUGACAUAAGUAACGAUAAUGCGGGUGAAAAACCCGCACGCCGGAAGACCAAGGGUUCCUGUCCAACGUUAAUCGGGGCAGGGUGAGUCGACCCCUAAGGCGAGGCUGAAAAGCGUAGUCGAUGGGAAACAGGUUAAUAUUCCUGUACUCGGUGUUACUGCGAAGGGGGGACGGAGAAAGCUAGGUUAUCCGGGCGACGGUUGUCCCGGUUUAAGCGUGAAGGUGGAUGACUUUGGUAAAUCCGGGUCGUCAUUAACACUGAGGCGUGAUGACGAGUCACUACGGUGAUGAAGUAACCGAUGCUACGCUUCCAGGAAAAGCCUCUAAGCUCCAGGUAACAUCAAAUCGUACCCCAAACCGACACAGGUGGUCAGGUAGAGAAUACUCAGGCGCUUGAGAGAACUCGGGUGAAGGAACUAGGCAAAAUGGUGCCGUAACUUCGGGAGAAGGCACGCUGAUGGUAGGUGAAGUGACUUGCUCACGGAGCCGAAAUCAGUCGAAGAUACCAGCUGGCUGCAACUGUUUAAUAAAAACACAGCACUGUGCAAACACGAAAGUGGACGUAUACGGUGUGACGCCUGCCCGGUGCCGGAAGGUUAAUUGAUGGGGUCAGCCGCAAGGCGAAGCUCUUGAUCGAAGCCCCGGUAAACGGCGGCCGUAACUAUAACGGUCCUAAGGUAGCGAAAUUCCUUGUCGGGUAAGUUCCGACCUGCACGAAUGGCGUAAUGAUGGCCAGGCUGUCUCCACCCGAGACUCAGUGAAAUUGAACUCGCUGUGAAGAUGCAGUGUACCCGCGGCAAGACGGAAAGACCCCGUGAACCUUUACUAUAGCUUGACACUGAACCUUGAGCCUUGAUGUGUAGGAUAGGUGGGAGGCUUUGAAGCGUGGACGCCAGUCUGCGUGGAGCCAACCUUGAAAUACCACCCUUUAAUGUUUGAUGUUCUAACGUGGGCCCGUAAUCCGGGUUGCGGACAGUGUCUGGUGGGUAGUUUGACUGGGGCGGUCUCCUCCCAAAGCGUAACGGAGGAGCACGAAGGUUAGCUAAUCCUGGUCGGACAUCAGGAGGUUAGUGCAAAGGCAUAAGCUAGCUUGACUGCGAGAGUGACAGCUCGAGCAGGUGCGAAAGCAGGUCUUAGUGAUCCGGUGGUUCUGAAUGGAAGGGCCAUCGCUCAACGGAUAAAAGGUACUCCGGGGAUAACAGGCUGAUACCGCCCAAGAGUUCAUAUCGACGGCGGUGUUUGGCACCUCGAUGUCGGCUCAUCACAUCCUGGGGCUGAAGUAGGUCCCAAGGGUAUGGCUGUUCGCCAUUUAAAGUGGUACGCGAGCUGGGUUUAGAACGUCGUGAGACAGUUCGGUCCCUAUCUGCCGUGGGCGUUGGAAGAUUGAGAGGGGUUGCUCCUAGUACGAGAGGACCGGAGUGAACGCACCACUGGUGUUCGGGUUGUGAUGCCAAUUGCAUUGCCCGGUAGCUAAGUGCGGAAGAGAUAACCGCUGAAAGCAUCUAAGCGGGAAACUUGCCUCGAGAUGAGUCUUCCCUGGGCACUAGAUGCCCCUGAAGGGCCGUUGAAGACGACGACGUAGAUAGGCUGGGUGUGUAAGCGUAGCGAUACGUUGAGCUAACCAGUACUAAUGACCCGAGAGGCUUAACCUUACAACACCGAAGGUGUUU
rnacentral:rRNA from 1 species